rnacentral:lncRNA from 1 species
CAGACGAGGUAAAAUUUCUUCUCUUGGCUUGGAUUUCGAUGUUGAACCCCUCUGUGGCCAAAUCAGAGCCAAACUACCGGCCAAUUAGCCGAAAAAUAUCGUCGAAGCCCAGCAGCGCCGCUGUGGGUUUUCUCGAUUUUUGCCUCUGAUAGGGCCCUUCCCGAUUCCCGUUCGAUGUAAUUUUUAUACCACUAUGACCACCGUCCUUUCCUUUACAGGUUGACCGGAGCAAAAAUACCAAAUCGCGACUCGCGCCGAAGGAACCGCUGCACCCGAGAGCUCCGCCGCUGGUAAGUCUCAGUUUUCUGGAUUCUUUUGGCCCUCCGAUGGCCCUAGGGGUGUUUUAUCAUAGGAACCAAUGCAAGUUUGGCCAAAUUCGACCAAAAAUAGCCAACCUGAGGCAGAUCGCCACCGUGCACGACGGCGCAGUUGCCGGAGCACGGUGGAGCCGCCGUGCCAGAAUUCUGAAAUUGGUCGAAAAGGCCUUGGGUCUGAUUUGGGGGUUUUUGGAGACAUGUGCAGGUACCGGAAGUGUAUUUCAGUUUUCAACAAAAAAAAUUCAGGGAAUCUAGAGACUGCCCGUAGGCGCAGUGAGAACCUGAUUUCAGACUCCGAAACAAGUAAGGAUCCUUCACCCUAUUUUCUAUCACGGCAUUAAAGCUUAAUAAAUGAUAAAAU